GACGAACGCUGGCGGCGUGCCUAACACAUGCAAGUCGAACGGAAAGGCCUCUUUCGGGGGGUACUCGAGUGGCGAACGGGUGAGUAACACGUGAGUAACCUGCCCUUGACUUUGGGAUAACUUCAGGAAACUGGGGCUAAUACCGGAUAGGAGCUCCUGCUGCAUGGUGGGGGUUGGAAAGUUUCGGCGGUUGGGGAUGGACUCGCGGCUUAUCAGCUUGUUGGUGGGGUAGUGGCUUACCAAGGCUUUGACGGGUAGCCGGCCUGAGAGGGUGACCGGCCACAUUGGGACUGAGAUACGGCCCAGACUCCUACGGGAGGCAGCAGUGGGGAAUAUUGCACAAUGGGUGGAAGCCUGAUGCAGCAACGCCGUGUGCGGGAUUACGGCCUUCGGGUUGUAAACCGCUUUCGCUCAUGACGAAGCUUUGUGUGACGGUAGUGGGUAAAGAAGCACCGGCUAACUACGUG
rnacentral:rRNA from 1 species